ensembl:lncRNA TOB1-AS1 TOB1 antisense RNA 1
GAGGGGGAGGGGGACGAAGCUGGUGGCGAAGCGGCUCAGGAGAACCGGGGCUGGAGGAGCGGCAAGAGUACCCAGAAAGUGCCCUCUCCGCGGGGGUCUGCGGCCAAGGAGGAUCCUGCUCGUGGAAUAGCUACCAAAUCGGCCUCCAGCCCACCCCAGGGGCGGGGUAGAGAAAGGGCAAACUGUGACCGGGACUUGUGCACCCGAUUAAUUGAAUAUUAAUCACCCCAAGGCCUAGGCCAACCGCCACCCAGAGAGUGGCAGCUGCAGAACCCAAAGACGUGGAGCCGGGCUGGGGGUGGGGAAGGGAGGCCGCCACAGCUCCCGCCCCGCCGGCAGUUUAACUGCUUCCGCAGCCUCAGGCCUCCCGGUGCGACCCCGGCUGCGACUCGGAUCCGUUUAUUCCAAAUGUCCCAGCCCACGCCGUGCCCAGAGUGUGGCGACACGAGGCCAAACUGCACGGAGUCUUGCUGUGUUGCCCAGGCUGGAGUGCAGUGGCAUGAUCUCUGUUCACUUCAACCUCCGCCUCCUGAGUUCAAGCGAUUCU